CUGCGGAGGAUCAUUA
rnacentral:rRNA from 47 species